GGUGCGGGUCCCUGAGAUGCCGUUCCGGGCCAUCCUUGGCCUCUCCGCCGCCGUCUCCGGCCACCUCCGCCGCGGCCUCUCCACGGCCGCACGGCACCCUCCGUGGGCGAUGAUCUACCGCACCGUGCUGUUCCUCCAGCAUAUGCCCAUUUCCAUAAACUCUGUGCUCCAAUCAUGGCAUAAAUCCACCACCAUAAAUACCGCUCAUGUCAAUCAAAUUCUGAUUGGUUUAUUUAUUGUAUUUGGUUGUAGAUUUUUUUCGAGAAUCACACAGUACAACAAAGACGUCCACAACACGCACGCACACUCACACCCUAUGAAUACACGUACGCAAACCCUACCCCUAUGAGCACCUUCGAAGGGCUGAGCACCGACAGAUCUGAACAUUCCCGAAGUCACCACUGGCGUCUCAUCGUCAACGGGAACGUCGCUUACCACUUAACGUGUAACACCGGAACCAUUUUCUGGACAGUCGACAAGCACAAUUAGCUGAGCCAAGGAUGAAAUGGAAUAAGGAACAAACAGUGAGAAGAGAUUGGAAUUUUGAAGGCAAAUGCAGGAAUUUUUGCUGUUUUUGUUUCUAGUGUUGCUUUUGAUGCAAGAUGAAUGUAACUUGCAUGUAAAUUUUGAGGUGCUUCUCAAUGUAAAUACGAGAUAUUGUAUUUGAUUUGAUGCUGUGGUAAAUGGUCUGACAAUUUUGGUAUGUA